GAAAUGCGAUAAGUAGUGUGAAUUGCAGAAUUCAGUGAAUCAUCGAAUCUUUGAACGCACAUUGCGCCCCUUGGUAUUCCAUGGGGCAUGCCUGUUCGAGCGUCAUUUGUACCCCAAGCUCUGCUUGGUGUUGGGUGUUUGUCCCCGUCUCCGCGCGUGGACUCGCCCCAAAGUGAUUGGCAGCCGGCGUACUGGUCCCGGAGCGCAGCACAUGUCGCGCAAACGAGUGCCUUGGUACGGCGGCGUCCAUAAGCCCCUCUCUCACGCUCUUGACCUCGGAUCAGGUAGGGAUACCCGCUGAACUUAAGC
rnacentral:misc_RNA from 1 species